rnacentral:rRNA from 1 species
AUUGAACGCUGGCGGCAUGCCUUACACAUGCAAGUCGAACGGCAGCACUGACUUCGGUCUGGUGGCGAGUGGCGAACGGGUGAGUAAAGUAUCGGAACAUACCUUGUAGUGGGGGAUAACUAUCCGAAAGGAUAGCUAAUACCGCAUACGCUCUGAGGAGGAAAGCGGGGGAGUCUUCGGACCUCGUGCUAUAAGAGUGGCCGAUAUCUGAUCAGCUAGUUGGUGAGGUAAAGGCUCACCAAGGCGACGAUCAGUAGCUGGUCUGAGAGGACGACCAGCCACACUGGAACUGAGACACGGUCCAGACUCCUACGGGAGGCAGCAGUGGGGAAUUUUGGACAAUGGGGGCAACCCUGAUCCAGCAAUGCCGCGUGAGUGAAGAAGGCCU